AUGACCAACCAGUGCUCCAUUGCGCUCUGCCGUGUCGGGAGCAAUGGAAGGUGGAGGACACGAGGGUGUAGCAGGUACAUUGCAUAUGGACAUCUGGUGCUAGAGGACAUUGCCUUCGUCAACGGUGAGCUAUAUGGCAUUACGCACAAUGAACUUUUCUGGUUUGACAUCAGCUUCGACAAAGAUGGCAAUCCGGUGGCCACCCCCCUCCGCCUGCCAGUCAUUGAGAUGGAUGCCUUGCACGCGCAUCCCGGCACAAGAUACAUCUUCCAACUGCGCUCCAACAUAGCAAUAGCGGUGGAGAUCUGGCCGCUAAUUAGCCUCGGUAGUUCUGCAAUUUUCAAGGUGUUCGAGCUCUCUGACAGCGGCAGGAGGUGGGAAGAGGUGAUGAGCUUGGAUGGCUACGCCUUGUUUCUAGGUCCAGCGUGUUGUAAGGCAAUGCCCAUGCCUGUGACCAACGUGCGCAGUGGGGUGGAGGGUAACCGUAUCUACUACUCCAAGCAACACUCCUCUCCCCACAACAACAAGGAUUGCUUAGCAAGGUUGGACCUCGGUAGUUGCACCGUUUAUUGUUGCCAAAGCAAAGUUGGGCGCCAUUUGGAGAGGAUCACGUCACGAGGAUACCAUUACGAGGAGUGGGAUGGCUGUAAUGGUUGUAAUGCGUGCAUGUGGCUUGUACCACCACAAUUCUAG
rnacentral:rRNA from 1 species